rnacentral:lncRNA from 1 species
GAAGAUUGGUGCGUAAAAACCCGCAAAACCAAAAACUGCACGUAUAAGAAAGAUGUGUUACCUAGGGAGACCGUGUAUCUCUAAAAACCUAUAGAUCUAUGAGAGAGAAUGAAGGAAGUCAACUAUCCUCCUCUCUAGUGAUGAUCUACAUUGCAGGGGCUAUGAAGAUGCUCCUCAAAUCAUUGUAUAAUCCUCCUUUCCACGCACACCACGCGAUCAAGAAGGGGCCAGCCCUUCUUGUUGUCCACAUG